rnacentral:rRNA from 1 species
UACGUAGGGAGCAAGCGUUGUCCGGAAUCAUUGGGCGUAAAGCGCGCGUAGGUGGCCACAUAAGUCCGUUGUGAGAGUCAAAGGCUCAACCUUUGAAAGCCGAUGGAUACUGUGUGGCUAGAGUACGGAAGAGGCGAGUGGAAUUCCUGGUGUAGCGGUGGAAUGCGCAGAUAUCAGGAGGAACACCAAUAGCGAAGGCAGCUCGCUGGGACGUUACUGACACUGAGGCGCGAAAGCGUGGGGAGCGAACAGG